AUUAAAGUAGUUUGUGAGUUUUUAAGAAAUAUGCCACACAAAUAGAUAUUGGUUGUGAAUAACCUUGGAAGAGAAAGAGAGAAAAGACCACCAAUUGAGAAAAUCUACUAAAAUCUAGGUUGACCAUUUGACAGCAAAUAUUAUAAUGUUGCAAAUAGAGGAAAAAAUGAAAGAGAGAAUGUUCCAUUGAGGUUGAAGAUGCAUGGUUGCUUUACUGGAUGUCUCUGGCAGAAAAAUCAGAAAUUUGUUUUUGUUGUUUCCUUGGUGGCCCUAAACAAAAACUGCAUAGUUAUUGUUUUAGUAAAUAAAUUAAGGAAUAACUCCUUAUUUGGAGAAAUUAAUCCCAAACUCCUAAUCAUGACAUAAAGAAAAUUUUAUGUAUUUAAUUUUGAAGAGAAGUUCUGAAAAGAUCCACAGCCGAUUAUUUUUUUUUCUCAAAAAACUCUUUGAAUGAUUACCAUGGAAACAAACAGCAAAAAAACUGCUGCCUUAUUUGCACUUUCAUAAAUAUAUACGCCUUCCUCUUUUAAUGGGAUCAGGUCAGCCCAAUAUUUAAUCAUAGACUCAAUAGAAUUUAGGUAGAUUUUG